GUGGCAAGGAGCUGUCAGCAUGUCCGAAAUUCUUGAGCAGAGGUAUUGCACCAAAGUUUGAAAUUCGGAACUCGUACAUAUAUGAGCAUGCAGUCAGUGCAAUAUUUGUGCAAUUCACGUAGGACUACCUAAAGAAUGGCGUGUGCUACCCCUUCUCGUGAGACUAAACUGGUAACUGAGCCCUACGCCGAACAGAACAAACGCUGGCCCAAAAGCGGCCGUCACAUUCUGGCCCACUACGACGAGAAGACGGUGGUUGUGUAUCAAGCGUUCAAUCCGUCUAUCGCCAGCUAUGCUGUGGAACACCAGGAGUUCGGUGGCGACAGCUUCAGUUAUACACGCAUGUCAUGGAUCAAGACCAACUUCCUGUGGAUGAUGUAUCGAUGCGGUUGGGCUGCGAAGAAAGACCAGCAGAGGGUGCUUGCUGUCACCUUAACACGUGAUGGCUUUGAAGAGAUUCUUGCAAAUGCUUACACUGUCAAUUUUCAGAAAUCUCGCAAUGUGAGGACAGAGGACAUUGAAGUACGUCUACAAUGGGACCCCGAUCACACCCCGUCAGGAGAGAAGGUUGAGAGAAGGGCUAUUCAACUUGGCCUCAAAGGAAAUAUGCUGAAGAAGUAUGGAAAGCAAUUCAUUGUGAAGAUUGAAGACAUUACACCGUUUGUGAAGGAGCAGCGUCAGAUAUUGAUGGACAAGGGUCAGUGGGAGAUUCACACUCCCUGUGAGAGGGUCUACAAUGUCACCAACGAUGCUGUGGCACAGAGGAUUGCCCUGGACUUCCAUGAAACUGGGCCAACUUUGGUCUCCUGAAAGUAUAAAAACUGGCCCAACAAUUCUCUCCUGGAGGUGAUGAAACUGGUCCAACAAUUAUCUUUUGGAGGUGAUGAAACUGGUCCAACCAUUAUCUCCUGAAGGUGAUGAAACUGGUCCAACAAUUAUCUCCUGAAGGUGAUGAAACUGGUCCAACAAUUAUCUCCUGGAGGUGAUGAAACUGGUCCAACAAUUAUCUCCUGGAGGUGAUGAAACUGGUCCAACUGUUGUCUUCUGAAGGUGAUGAAACUGGUCAUUAUCUCCUGAAAGAAAUGAAACUG